CUCCCAAAUGUGCCAGAAAUGUGAUCUUUGCUACAGUUUCUUUCAAGAAAAUGUGGAUAAUUAUAUAGUCAAUGAAAUGACUUUAUUCUUUUUCAAAUAUCUACCAAGACUCAGUGCCAAAAAAAGUGCAAUAAAUACGAAGAGUCAGCAUGUGAAGCGUUGGAAGUGCACAACUUACUGAAGAGGAGGAAAACAUCCCACAAAGGCAACUUCAUCCUCCGCAGAGCAGGGAGGACUUCGUUCUAAACACACAGACACACAACCUGUAUUUCAUGAAAGGGGGAGCUUCAGUGUGGUACCAGUGUCUAAAGCUGCUCUCAGGCUACAUGCCGUGGUGGCUCAAAUUAC
ensembl:lncRNA